rnacentral:rRNA from 1 species
UACGUAGGGUGCGAGCGUUGUCCGGAAUUACUGGGCGUAAAGGGCGUGUAGGCGGCCUUGCAAGUCAGAUGUGAAAUCCCGGGGCUUAACUCCGGAAGUGCAUUUGAAACUGCAAGGCUAGAGUGCUGUAGAGGAUGGCGGAAUACCCAGUGGAGAGGUGAAAUUCGUAGAUAUUGGGUAGAACACCGGUGGCGAAGGCGGCCAUCUGGGCAGCAACUGACGCUGAGGCGCGAGAGCGUGGGGAGCAAACAGG